GUCUAUUUCUGAAGUCUGUCACAGACAGGCUGCCAUAACGCCCUUUCCUGGUUAGUGUCACCAUAUAGUGAAAUCUUCCCCAUUCAGACAAUCCCCGAAUUGGUCAACCCCUGAGUGUGUGAAAAGGCUGAACUCCCUGCUUUCUCUCUUCUGUAUACAUUUACUAAUCUGUACGCAGGAGUGACAUUGAGAAAAUACAUACACAGAGAAAAGAGCUUACAAGUAUGACGAAUAACUGGNNNNNNNNNNNNNNNNNNNNNCUGCAUGUCUCUGAAAGUAAGAAAUACUGUAAGAGAAAGAGCAAACAACAACAGAAGUGGAGAUUUUGACAGCAGGAAGAUAACGGGAGGAAGUCAUCUGACCAUCAGUUAAAAACCAGUAAGGUAUGGUGGGGUCUGACUCUCUUUCAAAACAGAGGCUAGAUGGAGGAGUGGUUUGAAGGGACUUGCAGAGAAAACACAAAUCUUAAAUUAUUCAGAUUAGUUACUGUUGAUUAACCCGGAUCCCUUCAAAUAUGCUCUCUAAAGAGUUUGGAUACAUUCACUAUUAUAUAUGGAGUUUAUACAAAGCGGUUUUGUAGAAUGUUUGACAAAUUUACAUCAGGGCCUUAUUACACUAAGCAUAGCAGAAACUGCCAGAAAGGGUUUUAUCUUCCAACAUAACAGCACGUCAACAGUCGACAGGCCCAUUUCGGGGUUGUAGAGUCCCAGAGACUGAGGCAAAAUGAGGAGUGAUUCCAAGCAGACCGGCCACCAGAAAGAGCCCAUGCCGGUGGCGGCUGGCAGCCUGGCCUCCAACACACGGCUCAGCCCGGUGCGGUUGUUCUUUUCAGCGGUAUUUUCAGAAAACGAAGGGCUGGCAUUUGUAAACACGCUGCCUGGGUGGAAAGAUGCCCAUGCACUAAGAAAGCUGGAAAAACCCAUGCAGGACACUGUGCCAGAACAAACCACGAGACCACAACAAAUGAAAGCAGGGCCCGAAGGACAGCCGGCAACACUCUUAAAUCAUGAGCGCCCGGAAGGCUACUGGCUGUAAAGCAGAGCCACUUGCAGCUGAGGUGCUAGGAGACCAUCCUGCUCACCACAGGUGAGGCCAGACUGAAAAAAACUACAUGAGUCCUCGUGGUGAGGCAGCCUCCAAACUGGUUUCCUCCUCCUCACACUCUCUUCUCCACGAGCGAAUCUACCCAUUAGGUCGAUGUCCUUCAAACACCGUCCUCGCAUCUCCAGGUCGAGCACAUACAUGUAAUGUGAUUCUUCCUCACCUGAGCCUGACUCAUGUUCUUGGCUCAGUGGGCAAUGCAAGGCGAGUGCCCUGGCUUCUCCCUAGCAUGUUCCUGGCUCCUUGUCAGAACUCACAAAGUAUGAAUUGGGUUUCCCUGGUGGCUCAGAUGGUAAAGAAUCUGCCUGCAAUGCAG
rnacentral:lncRNA from 1 species